AGUGAACGCUGGCGGUAUGCCUAACACAUGCAAGUCGAACGGCAGCACAGUAAGAGCUUGCUCUUACGGGUUGCGAGUGGCGGACGGGUGAGGAAUACAUCGGAAUCUACUUUUUCGUGGGGGAUAACGUAGGGAAACUUACGCUAAUACCGCAUACGACCUACGGGUGAAAGCAGGGGAUCUUCGGACCUUGAGCGAUUGAAUGAGCCGAUGUCGGAUUAGCUAGUUGGCGGGGUAAAGGCCCACCAAGGCGACGAUCCGUAGCUGGUCUGAGAGGAUGGUCAGCCACACUGGAACUGAGACACGGUCCAGACUCCUACGGGAGGCAGCAGUGGGGAAUAUUGGACAAUGGGCGCAAGCCUGAUCCAGCCAUACCGCGUGGGUGAAGAAGGCCUUCGGGUUGUAAAGCCCUUUUGUUGGGAAAGAAAAGCAGCAGGUUAAUACCCCGCUGUUCUGACGGUAACCAAAGAAUAAGCACCGGCUAACUUCGUG
rnacentral:rRNA from 1 species